CAAACACCUCUGUAGGGUGGCCUUGCCUGCUUUCCCCCUAAUGCUCACAUCUCCAGGGUCGCCGACAGGAGAAUGGCUGCCGCGAGACUCUGAGUGCCGCCUCUGCAUGUCCGUGACCACCCAGGCCGGGAACAGCAGCGAGCAGGCCAUACCACAGGCAAUGCUCCAGGCCUGUGUCGGCUCCUGGCUGGACAGGGAAAAGCUGGCUCCAGUUUGUUAAGGGUUUUAACUGCAGCCAGAGGUGUUCCGUGAGGGCUGAUGGAGGAGU
rnacentral:sRNA from 1 species